GCGUGCAUCCUGGGGAGGUGAGGUGGACUGUGGCUCCCAGCGAGGAAAAGGACUCUGCCAGCAGUGAUUCAAGAAAAAUAUGUAUUAUUCGUAUGCUUUGACUUGUUCUAUAGAUUCUUUCGGAUUUUUUUCUUUUUUUUUUUCUUCCUUUCUUUACCCCCUCUGUUGUAGCUGUUGAUUCUAUUGGCAUUAUGAAAUCUAAGCUUUUGAGCUUUUUAAAAUUUUUUCCUCAGUCACAUUUUUAAUUGUUGUUAUAAACCUCUGUCUCUAUGUUGAGCUUUUGCAGUUCUGUGGAGUUUCCCUUUUUUUUCUUUUCUCUUUUUUUUAACUUUAAUUUUUUAAACCUAUUACUAUUUUUCUACAUUUAUUCCUUUGUUUUCUUUUCCUGCUGUUCUUUUCCCCUUGCAGUUAAUUGUUAAUGCAUAUAAAUCUUCUGCAUCUACUCUAUUUAAUGCUGCAUAUCUAUUCUUUCUUUAUUUUCUUUCUCUCCUUUCCUCUCAACAUUUUGCUAGUCUUAUUUUCAUCGCUUUAUUCCCCUUGGCACCUUGCUUUAGUUUCGUUUUCCAGUUUGUGCUUUAGUUAGUUUUGUUCUGGUAGAUAUACUUUUUGGUUUCCUUUGUUCGCUGGGUCAAUCUAUUGUACUUUAUUUUUGUUGGAUUUUUUGAUUUUGCUUAUGGCCAGGUAUGCAUUUGUGUAUAUUCAGUCACACUUUUUAUUGUUUCUAUAAACCUCCACCUCUAUGUUGGGCUUUUGCAGUUCUGUGGAGCUUUGCUUUUUUUCCCUUUUUUCUUUCUUCUUCCAUUUUUUUUCUCUUUUUUAUAUUUUUUAAUUUUAAAAAUCUGUUAUAUUUUCCCACAUUUCUUCCUUUGUUUGCUUCCCUACUGUUCUUUUCCCCGUGCAGUUAAUCUUCAAUGUAUAUAAAUCUUCUUCAUCUACCUCUACUUAACUUUGUAUAUCUAGUCUUUCUUUCUUUCCUUUCCUCUCAACCUAUUUGUAGUUUUGUUUUCAUUGCUUUAUUCUCCACUUGGC
ensembl:lncRNA